UACAGAGGUGGCAAGCGUUGUUCGGAAUUACUGGGCGUAAAGGGCGCGUAGGCGGCCUUCUAAGUCAGACGUGAAAUCCCCGGGCUUAACCUGGGAAUUGCGCUUGAAACUAGCGGGCUUGAGUGUGGCAGAGGGGGGUGGAAUUCCACGUGUAGCAGUGAAAUGCGUAGAGAUGUGGAGGAACACCGAUGGCGAAGGCAGCCCCCUGGGCCAACACUGACGCUCAGGCACGAAAGCGUGGGGAGCAAACAGG
rnacentral:rRNA from 1 species